UAUCUAUAUUGGUUUCGGUAGUCUUCCUGUUCAGGAACCAGAAAGGAUGACCCAGAUAAUAGUGCAAGCUCUAGAAAAAACUGGACAAAGAGGCAUCAUUAACAAAGGCUGGGGUGGUCUUGGCAAUUUGGCAGAACAAAAGGACUUUGUGUAUUUACUGGACAAUUG